GACGAACGCUGGCGGCGUGCUUAACACAUGCAAGUCGAACGAAGUGGCGAACGGGUGAGUAACGCGUAAUUAACCUGCCCUUCAGAGGGGUACAACAGUUGGAAACGACUGCUAAUACCGCAUACUGACGGCGGGGAUUGCGUCUGAUUAGCUAGUGGGAGGGGUAACGGCCCACCAAGGCGAUGAUCAGUAGCCGGGCUGAGAGGAUGAACGGCCACAGGGGGACGGAGACACGGCCCAGACUCCUACGGGAGGCAGCAGUGGGGAAGCUUCCGCAAGGGACGAAAGUCUGACGGAGCAAAGCCGCGGGAGUGAGGACGGCCUUCGGGGUGGAAAGCUCUGUUAAUCGGGACGCGGUACCGGAAGAGAAAGCCACGGCUAACUACGUGCCAGCCGCCGCGGUAAUAC
rnacentral:rRNA from 1 species